CCUACGGGGUGCAGCAGUGGGGAAUAUUGGGCAAUGGGCGCAAGCCUGACCCAGCAACGCCGCGUGAAGGAAGAAGGCUUUCGGGUUGUAAACUUCUUUUCUGAGGGACGAAGAAAGUGACGGUACCUGAGGAAUAAGCCACGGCUAACUACGUGCCAGCAGCCGCGGUAAUACGUAGGUGGCAAGCGUUACCCGGAUUUAAUGGGUGUAAAGGGCGUGUAGGCGGGAAAGCAAGUCCGAUGUGAAAACUGAGGGCCCAACCCCCAGCCUGCAUUUGAAACUGUUUUUCUUGAGUGCUGGAGAGGUAAGCGGAAUUCCGUGUGUAGCGGUGAAAUGCGUAGAUAUACGGCGGAACACCAGUGGCGAAGGCGGAUUGCUGGACAGUAACUGACUCUGAGGCGCGAAAGCGUGGGGAGCAAACAGGAUUAGAUACCCCAGUAGUC
rnacentral:rRNA from 1 species